CCACUCUGCGUCUUUCUGCGGUAAAAGUUGCUGUCGUGGAGGCUCUGCCGAAAACAUGAGUUACUAAAGCAACUUACGAGUUUGUAGCUUAUGACACUCUGGGUUGUAGGUAAUAUAUGUCUGUUUUCGCGUUCUUUGAAAGAACCCAGAGAUAUCCCUAAUCGAUCUCAUUGAUGAAGAAGAGGUUACGCUCCUUUUGGACCUGGUAGCAACAGUUUAUGUACCCGGACAAGAUCAAGGGCAAAGAUAAACUUGUUCAGAGGUGUGGAAUUUAUCUUUUUUUUUUUUUUUAAGAAAAUCAAGACUGGCACGGCUGCAAAGCGCCGCUUUUCAACAACCACUGGUGCUCAACGUUAAUCUAACAAAUGGACUCCCACUGCCGCAAACUUGCAUCAACGUGUGCUCAAUUAGAGAAAGAGAAGGGACAGAGUAAAAACGAAGAUUCGACUGAUGACCCAUCGAAAAAGAAGAGACAGAGGCGGCAACGAACGCAUUUUACUAGCCAACAGCUCCAGGAACUGGAGGCCACUUUUCAACGGAAUCGCUAUCCGGACAUGUCCACUAGAGAGGAAAUCGCUGUUUGGACUAAUUUAACAGAGGC